rnacentral:rRNA from 1 species
AUUGAACGCUGGCGGAAUGCUUUACACAUGCAAGUCGAACGGCAGCACGGGGGCAACCCUGGUGGCGAGUGGCGAACGGGUGAGUAAUACAUCGGAACGUGCCCAGUCGUGGGGGAUAACGUAGCGAAAGCUACGCUAAUACCGCAUACGAACUGAGGUUGAAAGCGGGGGAUCGCAAGACCUCGCGCGAUUGGAGCGGCCGAUGGCAGAUUAGGUAGUUGGUGGGGUAAAGGCUCACCAAGCCGACGAUCUGUAGCUGGUCUGAGAGGACGACCAGCCACACUGGGACUGGGAAACGGCCCAGACUCCUACGGGAGGCAGCAGUGGGGAAUUUUGGACAAUGGGCGCAAGCCUGAGUCAGCCAUUCCGCGUGCAGGAUGAAGGCCCUCGGGUUGUAAACUGCUUUUGUACGGAACGAAACGGCCUGGGUUAAUACCUCGGGCUAAUGACGGUACCGUAAGAAUAAGCACCGGCGAACUACGUGCCAGCCGCCGCAGUAAAAC